CAGCGCCACGAGUGGGAAUCGUGUUUAUUGGGCCUAAAGCGUCCGUAGCCGGUUUAGUAAAUCUUUUGUGAAAUCAUCGGGCUUAACCUGAUGGCGUGCAGAAGACACUGCUGAACUGGGAACCGGUAGGAGUCAGAGGUAUGGGAUGGGGAGCGGUAAAAUGCGAUAAUCCAUCCUAGACCACCUGUGGCGAAGGCGUCUGACUAGAACGGAUUCGACGGUGAGGGACGAAAGCCAGGGGAGCGAUCCGGAUUAGAUACCCGAGUAGUCC
rnacentral:rRNA from 1 species